rnacentral:rRNA from 1 species
AUGGAUAACACCGCUUUUCGUAAACUGACCGUGCUGUGCUGGAACGUGCAAGGCUUGGGUGACCCGGACAAGUGUGGGCUUGUCCGGGACGCCGUGUGUGCUGCCGACCCCUGCAUUGCGUGUCUCCAGGAGACCAAACUGGCAUCGGUGGACGCCGGAAAAUGCCGCUCCUUCCUCCCCUCUCGUCUUUCCCUUCACGCCGUGCUCGAUGCGAAUGGGAGCCGCGGGGGCAUCCUCUCUGCCUGGGACCCCAUCUCCUACCGCCUUGUCUCCUCCCUCGCCUCGGAGUUCUCCCUCACCAUCAUCCUCGAGUCCGUCGCUUCUGCCCUCAUUGUUUCGCUCACUAACGUCUAUGCCCCUAGCGACCAUGCGCGGUCUGCUGAUCUUGUCGCCGACCUCUCCACGGUCGUGGCAACCAUCAUCGGACCCUGGCUCGUUCUGGGGGAUUUCAACCUCAUCCGCUUCCCCCACGAAAAGAACAACUCCAACUUCAAUGCCCCCAGGGCGGCCCUUUUCAACGGGCUUAUCAAUUCGCUCUCUUGGUUCGAGCUCCCCCUUUCGAACCGUCUAUUCACGUGGACGAACAAACGCUCCCCCCAACCUUGGCUCGUCUCGAUCGGGCCUUCUUCAACAACGACUGGGACGUUACCUUCCCCGACUCCUCUCUGA